rnacentral:rRNA from 1 species
AUGAACGCUGGCGGCGUGCCUAAUACAUGCAAGUCGAGCGAACGGACGAGAAGCUUGCUUCUCUGAUGUUAGCGGCGGACGGGUGAGUAACACGUGGAUAACCUACCUAUAAGACUGGGAUAACUUCGGGAAACCGGAGCUAAUACCGGAUAAUAUUUUGAACCGCAUGGUUCAAAAGUGAAAGACGGUCUUGCUGUCACUUAUAGAUGGAUCCGCGCUGCAUUAGCUAGUUGGUAAGGUAACGGCUUACCAAGGCAACGAUGCAUAGCCGACCUGAGAGGGUGAUCGGCCACACUGGAACUGAGACACGGUCCAGACUCCUACGGGAGGCAGCAGUAGGGAAUCUUCCGCAAUGGGCGAAAGCCUGACGGAGCAACGCCGCGUGAGUGAUGAAGGUCUUCGGAUCGUAAAACUCUGUUAUUAGGGAAGAACAUAUGUGUAAGUAACUGUGCACAUCUUGACGGUACCUAAUCAGAAAGCAACGGCUAACUACGUG